AUGCAGUCCUGUUUGCUUGUCUUAAGUGACCUGACGUCUUGGCCUGCUCUGAUCGCUGGAGUCACCAACCAGUACGAACUAUUGUACCUCUUCAAGGAAAUUAGCGCCAUCGGGUUGCAGAUCGACGACAGCUUGUUCCCAGCCCUCAAACAGCUCCCCGGGGUUCUGGCUGUGAUCCCGGACAGGCUUCACAAGGUCCAAACGACGCAUUCCUGGGAGUUCCUCGGGCUGGAGAGCGGCGGCGAGCCGAAGGAGUGGAAUUACGACGCCAAGUUCGGCGAGGGGGUCGUCAUUGGAAAUGUCGACACUGGUGUAUCGCCGACAUCCGAAAGCUUCCGGAACGACGGCUUUUUCGCGCCGUCGGGGUGGUGCGGCAAAUGCGAUUCCGGCAAAGACUCCACCUUCCGCUGCAACAAAAAGUUGAUCGGCGCGAGGUUUUUCAACGCCGGCAUCCAGGUGCCGAACUUCCUGGACCCGGAGCCGGAGGAAGGCAAGCAGCUGAACCAGACUGAUCUGAACUCGCCGCGGGACUACGACGGGCACGGCUCGCACACUCUGUCCACCGCGGGCGGCGGUUUCGUCAAGGGCGCCAGCGCCUUCGGCCGCGGGAAGGGCAUGGCCAAGGGCGGCUCGCCGCGGGCGCGCGUGGCCUCGUACAAGGCAUGCUACACGGCGGGGUGCUCCAGCCUGGACAUCCUCGCGGCCAUAUUGGCGGCGGUCGAGGACGGCGUGCACGUGCUCUCGCUCUCGGUGGGCGCGCCGGCCGCGGACUACGCCGCUGACCUCAUGGCGAUCGGCACGUUAUACGCCGUCCAAAGGGGAGACUUCGCAGCUGAUGCCGUCUUCGGCAACAGCACCGUCAAGGGACGAAGUCUAUCAGCUAGCACUCUGCCUGCCGGCCAGCCAUAUCCGAUGAUAAGCGGGCAGAACGCCUUCGCCGCCGACCAAUUCAUCGACAACUCGACGUUGUGCCUUCCCAGUUCGCUAGACCCUGCCAAGGUGAGAGGCAAGAUAGUUGUGUGUACCAGGGGAGUGAACGGCAGAGUCGAGAAGGGGCUGGUGGUGAAGCAGGCCGGUGGCAUCGGGAUGGUCCUUUGCAACGAUGCCAGUGGCGCCGUUGACAUCAUCGCCGAUCCGCAUCUCAUUCCAGCGGCUCACUGCUCCUACUCACAGUGCGGGGAUCUCUUCAAGUACCUACAGUCCACCCACGCCGGUGAUGGCAGACUUCUCGUCCCGUGGGCCAAACACCAUCACUCCUCAGAUCCUCAAGGUUGGCACGUGAAUAAAUUCCCACGAUCUCUGUGUCUCCGCCGUUUUGCUAAUUUUCUCGGGUGGCAGCCUGACGUUACGGCGCCCGGCGUCGACGUGAUCGCCGCGUACAGCGAGGAAGCUCCGGCAACCGACCUGCCUUUCGAGGACCGCCGUGUCCCCUACAACAUGGUGUCCGGCACCUCCAUGUCAUGUCCCCACGUGGCGGGCGUGGCCGGCCUGAUCAAGGCGAAGUACCCUGACUGGAGCCCCGCGAUGAUCAAGUCGGCGAUCAUGACCACCGCAUUCACCGGAGCCAACGACGAGGGCCAAAUCCGGGACGAGACCGGCGCGGCCACCACCCCGUUCAGCUACGGCUCCGGCCACGUGAACCCCGUCCAAGCCCUGGACCCCGGCCUGGUGUACGACACUACGCCGUACGACUACGCAAACUUCCUCUGCUCCAUGAGGCCGACCCAGACGCAGAACCUGCUCCCCUUGUCGAUCCCCUUGCUCCUCCCUCUGCUCGUCGGCGCCAAUGCCAACCCGUUCCAGUGCAGCAUUGGCGCCUACCGCCCCGAGAACCUCAACUACCCAUCCAUCUCCGCGGCUUGCCUCUCCGGCUCCGGCACCACCACGGUGAAGCGCAGGGUGAGGAACGUGGGCGCGGGGCCGUGGCUCCAGUACAAGGUUACCGUCGUGCAGCCGACUGCGGGGGUCAGGAUCACGGUGCAGCCGAGCACGCUGAGCUUCGGUAAAAUCAACGAGGAGGAGUUCACCGUGAAGCUGGAAGUUUACGACACUGCCCCGGCCGCCGGCUACGUGUUCGGCAGCAUUGAGUGGUCGGACGGGAAGCACCGCGUCCGGAGCCCCGUCGUGGCCACCACCAAGUGCGGCCUCUACUUCCCCAUCGCCCUUAUUCACAUCGCAUCGUCCCUAUCAAGGCGGAAGACCGCCCUGCUGCUGCACCCGCACAGGCUUGCCUUCUUCGACAUGCUCCGAGAUGACUACGAGGUCGGCUCGCACCUCAGCCGCCUGCGCCGCCGCCUCCUGGAAAGCCGGUUGCCCUCACGUGUACCUCAUCUGCUUGCCUAG
rnacentral:rRNA from 1 species